rnacentral:tRNA from 1 species
GCACUUGUAACUUAACUGGAAAAGUAUGAGUCUUCGAAACUUAGUAAUAGUGGUUCAAAUCCAUUCAAGUGUU